GCUAAAGCUAUCAAGGUCCUUAUGGUGGUAAUCCUAGAAACAGAAUGGUGCAUCCACAGACAUAACGGCUUCCUUAUAAGUUGUGGGAUCUCCUUCUACUAGAAAGGAACAUGUCGCACAUCCUUGAGAGUUAGAGUCUUCCCAGAUGUCAUCUUCAAUUCCACUUCUCCUAUUCCACGUACUUGUGCGACGGUGUCAUUUCCUAGGGUUACACUUCCUCCACUUGAGUUCUGGUAAUUUUUGAAAAACCGUUUGUCAAAACACACAUGUACGUUUGCCCCAGAAUCUAACCACCAAUCACUAUUACUUAAAUAUGCGACAUUAACUAGAGGCUUAAAACUAUACCUUAGAUUGGGUUCAUCUUGAUCAUCUUGAUCCACCAACACAUUCACUUGGGCUUUAGGACCACUUUGUCCUUUGUUCCACUUAGGCUUGGGCUUGUAGGGCUCGGUCUUCUUGUAAUGACAGUCUUUGGCCCAAUGAUUUGUUCUUCCACAAACGAAGCAUGG